rnacentral:rRNA from 1 species
GACGAACGCUGGCGGCGCGCUUAACACAUGCAAGUCGAGCGAGAACCAGUCCUUCGGGACUGGGGAAAGCGGCGAACGGGUGAGUAACACGCGGGUAAUCUGCCCUCGGCACUGGGAUAGCCCGGGGAAACCCGGAGUAAUACCGGAUAGCCUUUCGAGCCUUCGGCCUCGUCAGAAAAGGUGGCUUCGGCUCCCGGCUGAGGAUGAGCCCGCGGCGGAUUAGCUUGUGGGUGGGGUAAUGGCCGACCAAGGAGACGAUCAGUAGCUGGUCUGAGAGGACGAUCAGCCAGACUGGGACUGGGGCUCGGGCCAGACUCCUACGGGCGGCAGCAGUGGGGAAGCUUGCGCAAUGGGCGAAAGCCUGACGCAGCGACGCCGCUUGCGGGAAGAAGGCCUUCGGGUUGUAAACCGCUUGCAGGAGGGACGAAGCCACUCGGGUGAAUAGCCCAGAGGGUGACGGUACCUCCAGAAGAAGCCCCGGCUAACUUCGUGCCAGCCGCCGCAGUAAUAC